rnacentral:rRNA from 1 species
UACGUAGGGUGCGAGCGUUGUCCGGAAUUAUUGGGCGUAAAGAGCUCGUAGGCGGUUUGUUGCGUCUAUCGUGAAAACCUGCGGCUUAACUGUGGGCUUGCGGUGGAUACGGGCAGACUUGAGUUCGGUAGGGGAGAAUGGAAUUCCCGGUGUAGCGGUGAAAUGCGCAGAUAUCGGGAGGAACACCGGUGGCGAAGGCGGUUCUCUGGGCCUGACCUGACGCUGAGGAGCGAAAGCGUGGGGAGCGAACAGG